AUUGAACGCUGGCGGCAGGCUUAACACAUGCAAGUCGAGCGAGCGGCGGACGGGUGAGUAAUGUAUGGGGAUCUGCCCGAUAGAGGGGGAUAACUACUGGAAACGGUAGCUAAUACCGCAUACCAUCAGAUGUGCCCAGAUGGGAUUAGCUAGUAGGUGGGGUAAUGGCUCACCUAGGCGACGAUCCCUAGCUUGUCUGAGAGGAGUACCAGCCACACUGGAACGGAGACACGGUCCAGACUCCUACGGGAGGCAGCAGUGUGGAAUAUUGCACAAUGGGCGCAAGCCUGAUGCAGCCAUGCCGCGUGUGUGAAGAAGGCCUUCGGGUUGUAAAGCACUUUCAGCGAGGAGGCGUUACUCGCAGAAGAAGCACCGGCUAACUCCGUGCCAGCAGCCGCGGUAAUUC
rnacentral:rRNA from 1 species